rnacentral:misc_RNA from 1 species
AAUAUAACAGGAGAGAUUGAUUUUUGUUCUUACGCAGAACAAACUCUAUAACAUAAAUCACAAGACUACAUUUAAGGUGCAUAACCUUUGUCAAUAAAUCACUCAAAAAAAAAAAAGGAAGUAGCAAGUUCUGGGUUUUAAUUAACACAACAGAACAGGUAACCGAGAGUCCGGAGCACCAUAGCUCCAAGCACUACACCAGUUUCAGAUUCAGACGGCAUUCAUCCUUAAGUAGAGAUGUAUCACUGCUAGCUGUUGGACAGCAUUCAUCCUUAAGUAGAGAUGUAAGACUGCUAGUUGUUGGAAUUGGCACUGGCAUUCCGAAUAGCACGGCGAAGUUCACUUAAGAAGUCCAUCUGUGAACCAGAAGAGGGACCACCACCUGGAGACAUUAACUGAUGAGGAGGUCUUGAGUUUCCCCAUGCUGAUGCACUACUUCCUGAAUACAUAACCGGCC